UACAGAGGUCCCAAGCGUUGUUCGGAUUCACUGGGCGUAAAGGGUGCGUAGGCGGUCGGGUAAGUCUGAUGUGAAAUCUCACAGCUUAACUGUGAAACUGCAUUGGAUACUAUUCGGCUUGAGAGUUGGAGGGGGGACUGGAAUUCUUGGUGUAGCAGUGAAAUGCGUAGAUAUGUGGAGGAACACCUGUGGCGAAGGCGCCUUGCUGGCCAAUUUCUGACGCUGAGGCGCGAAAGCGUGGGGAGCAAACAGG
rnacentral:rRNA from 1 species